AGCAAACGCUGGCGGCAGGCCUAACACAUGCAAGUCGAACGAAGUCUUCGGACUUAGUGGCGGACGGGUGAGUAACACGUGGGAACGUACCUUUUGGUUCGGAACAACUCAGGGAAACUUGAGCUAAUACCGGAUGAGCCCUUAGGGGGAAAGAUUUAUCGCCGAAAGAGCGGCCCGCGUUAGAUUAGCUAGUUGGUGAGGUAAAGGCUCACCAAGGCUACGAUCUAUAGCUGGUCUGAGAGGAUGAUCAGCCACACUGGGACUGAGACACGGCCCAGACUCCUACGGGAGGCAGCAGUGGGGAAUCUUGCGCAAUGGGCGAAAGCCUGACGCAGCCAUGCCGCGUGAAUGACGAAGGUCUUAGGAUUGUAAAAUUCUUUUACCAGGGACGAUAAUGACGGUACCUGGAGAAAAAGCCCCGGCUAACUUCGUGCCAGCAGCCGCGGUAACAC
rnacentral:rRNA from 1 species